GCUGAAUAUUAAUACAGACAACAUUGUAAGUGUAUUUUAGUACAGUGUUUCAUCCACAGGCAUUAAUGAAACGAUAGUUCUUUGUUUCCAGCAUUUCUUUAUAAAGGUACUUGAUUCUUGGUUCUUGAUCCCCAACCCUUUUGACUGAUGUGCUUUGUGAAAUUGGCUUGACGUCUUUCUCACUUUCUCACUCUCUCUUUAUUUACCCCACAGCAUCUGUAUAGUCAAUCUAGUCCUUAAUAUUUUCCCUCCUUUGCAUUAAAGACACAUUUUCAGCCCUUUCUCUUUCUUCACCGACCCUCCAGUUUCCUAAGUGCAUGUGUUACUCUGUCUUACCCACUGGUGCUGGGCCUGCGGACAGCCAUCAUCAUUUUAACCCCUGAUUCCAUGCCCUGGGGCCAGAUCAGACUGUGGCCUCUCACCUCACUAGCUCCGGCCUCGUGGUGAACGGUACUCCUCCAGCCUUGCCAGCAUGUCUUGAUUUGGAGUGCCUUAAGAGAAUGUUUUAAUUGUCACUUCUCAUUUAGGGGGAGAGUGACAUCUCAGGGUGGACAGGCGGGAAAAAGGCGGGCCGCAGUAAUCAGAGGCGAUGAAGACAUCUUACAUGCUGCAACACAGAAUUAUGGAAAAAAAUUCCCAAAGCUGUCUUGCUCUAGAGAACAUGAUUUGAUCAAGUCCAAAGUUUCAAGUCUACCAUAAAUCAGGCAGAAAAACAGAAAGAGAUACUGAAAAAGUGACAGAGGUCUGUAUUUCCCAGCUGAAAACACCUACUUGUACAGUACUUUUUUUCCCUCCAGCCUUUUUGACUAGCUUAACCAACAAUAUUUCCCUGCGCAACUAGCUUCACCAGUUAUGUUAAAUGGAUAAUUCAUCCAAAAAUAACAAUUCUCUUGUCAUUUACAAAUUUUUGUGUCAAACCAAAUGACAUUCAUUCAUCCGUAGAACACAAAAUGAAAUGUUUUGUUCACUUUUAUUGCAUCAUUUUUUCCCCAUACAAAAGCAAAUGGUGACUUAAGUUUUCAGAACAGAAUGUGUCCUGUGUGAAUGGUGUCACGUGUCUUUUAGCCACUUGGCAUAUGCUUGAUUAAUGCAUGCAGAGGCAAAACAGGUAAAAACAAAAACCCAACAACAACAAAAAAAACUUAGUUUGUUAGGAAAACUUCAGUUCUUGCUUUCUUCGCAGUGCAUUGUUUCCUAUAAAGGUUAGAGAGGGAGAAGCAUAGAUAGAGGUCUGAGAUUGGAGUCUCAGGUGCUCUCUCUCUCUCUCUGUGUGUGUGUGUGUGUGUGUGUGUGUGUGUGUGUGUGUGUGUGUGUGUGUGUGUGUGUGUGAGGUCUCUCAUC
ensembl:lncRNA